CCUACGGGAGGCAGCAGUGGGGAAUCUUAGACAAUGGGGGCAACCCUGAUCUAGCCAUGCCGCGUGAGUGAUGAAGGCCUUAGGGUUGUAAAGCUCUUUCAGCUGGGAAGAUAAUGACGGUACCAGCAGAAGAAGCCCCGGCUAACUCCGUGCCAGCAGCCGCGGU
rnacentral:rRNA from 1 species